rnacentral:rRNA from 1 species
AGAGUUUGAUCCUGGCUCAGAUUGAACGCUGGCGGCAUGCUUUACACAUGCAAGUCGAACGGCAGCACAGGGAGCUUGCUCCCGGGUGGCGAGUGGCGCACGGGUGAGUAAUACAUCGGAACGUGUCCUGUUGUGGGGGAUAACUGCUCGAAAGGGUGGCUAAUACCGCAUGAGACCUGAGGGUGAAAGCGGGGGAUCGCAAGACCUCGCGCAAUUGGAGCGGCCGAUGCCCGAUUAGCUAGUUGGUGAGGUAAAGGCUCACCAAGGCGACGAUCGGUAGCUGGUCUGAGAGGACGACCAGCCACCACUGGGACUGAGACACGGCCCAGACUCCUACGGGAGCAGCA